GACGUAGGGCGCGAGCGUUGUCCGGAUUUAUUGGGCGUAAAGAGCUCGUAGGCGGUGUGUCACGUCGUUCGUGAAAACCUGCAGCUUAACUGUGGGCGUGCGGUCGAUACGGGCAUCACUGGAGUUCGGCAGGGGAGACUGGAAUUCCUGGUGUAGCGGUGAAAUGCGCAGAUAUCAGGAGGAACACCGGUGGCGAAGGCGUGUCUCUGGGCCGAUACUGACGCUGAGGAGCGAAAUCGUGGGGAGCAAACAGG
rnacentral:rRNA from 1 species